rnacentral:tRNA from 1 species
GGGGAUAUAGCUCAGCUGGUAGAGCGCACGGUUCGCAAUCGUGAGGUCAGGGGUUCGAUCCCCCUUAUCUCCA